rnacentral:rRNA from 1 species
CUGCAGCCCGAGUAGUGACCGUUAUUACUGGGCCUAAAACGUCCGUAGCCUGUUUGGUAAAUGCUUGGGUAAAUCGUGUAGCUUAACUAUACGAAUACCGGGUAGACUGCCAGACUUGAGACCGGGAGAGGUUGGAGGUACUCCUGGGGUAGAGGUGAAAUUCUGUAAUCCUGGGGGGACCACCAGUGGCGAAGGCGUCCAACCAGAACGGGUCUGACGGUGAGGGACGAAGCCCUGGGGCGCAAACCGGAUUAGAUACCCGAGUAGUCC